GGGGAAGUGGCACAAAUGGUAGCGCGCGUGCUUAGCAUGCACGAGGUACCGGGAUCGAUACCUGGCUUCUCCA
rnacentral:tRNA from 1 species